AUUGAACGCUGGCGGCAGGCCUAACACAUGCAAGUCGAGCGAGCGUCGGACGUGUGUCUAAUGUCUGGGGAUCUGCCCGAUAGAGGGGGAUAACUACUGGAAACGGUGGCUAAUACCGCAUACUAUCCCUUGAACCCAUAUUGGAUUAGCUAGUAGGUGGGGUAAAGGAUCACCUAGGCGACCAUCUCUAGCUGGUCAGAGAGGAUGAUCAGCCAAACUGGGGCUGAGACACGGCCCAGCCUCCUACGGGAGGCAGCAGUGGGGAAUAUUGCACAAUGGGCGCAAGCCUGCUGCAGCCAUGCCGCGUGUAUGAAGCAGGCCUUAGGGUUGUAAAGUACUUUCAGCGGGGAGGCGUUAACCGAAGAAGAAGCACCGGCUAACUCCGUGCCAGCAGCCGCGGUAAUUC
rnacentral:rRNA from 1 species